UCUUAUUCAUAGCUAGCAGCUGAUUGAAACUUAGGUGCCCAUCUUUUGGUAUACUGAUGUAGCACAACUAUGAUCGUAGGUGAUGCUUACAAGCUUUGGCACCAAUUCCUGCUGAAAACUUGCUUUGUGAUUUUGUUGAGGCACUUGUUCUUUCAGAUAUACCCAUGAUGACUAUAAGACAUAGCUUCAUUGUUUUCACCUGACUCAUCUCUUUGUUUCAUGUUUUAGUAUUGAGUCUGCCAAUGAUUUAUGAUCUUAGCUAACGGUUACAAAGCCAGUGUUUCAAGUAUCAGCCUCAUUUGCUUCAUAAUCUUAACAAUGUACAUUAAUGGAUUGCAUGUUCUCCUUGUUUUCCAGAUUGCUUCCUAAGGACUCACUCGCCAACUGUGAGGUUUCAUUGGCUGAUCUUUGAGGCAAUGAGGAUCAAGUGUGCAAGAAGUUCAGACUUAGAGUUGAGGAUGUUAAAAGAAAGAAUGUUCUUACCAAUUUCUGGGGAAUGGAUUUUACCACAGACAAGUUGAGACCUCUUGUAAGAAAGUGGCAGACAUUGAUUGAAAUGCAUAUUGAUGUCAAGACAACAGACAACUUCACCUCGAGGACAUUCUGCAUUAGAUUCACCAAGCAGCGAGACAAACAAGUCAAGAGAACCUGUUAUGCCCAAUCUAGCCAGAUUCGAGAGGUGAAGUUAUGUCUUUCGAUUUCAACAUUUUUUCAAGAUUGUUUCAUCGUUCUGCAGUAUAUUCACCAAGCAGUCAGACAAACAGGUCAAGAGAAUUUGUUAUGCUCAAUCUAGCCAGAUUCGAGAGGUGAAGUUGGGUCUUUCGAAUUCAACAUUUUCUUAUCAUUUCAUGUGAUUCAUGUGUGUAAGAUUCUUUUGUGACCCUAUUGGAAGAAUAGGGAAAUCAUGGUAAACCAACAUUUUCUUAUUAUUUCCUGAUUGUAUCAUCUGUACUUUGUGUUGUCGGAUUCUUCACAAGAUGGCUGAAAUCAUGGUAAACCUGGCCUCUUCAUGUGAUCUUAAA